rnacentral:lncRNA from 1 species
UUGAAAUACGGAUUCAUAGGAAGUUUGGUUUGUUUUUUUUUUUUUUUUUUUUUUUAAGAUACAGAGUCUUACGAUGUUGCCACUUGCCUCCAGCCUGGGCAACAAAGCGAGACUCCAUCUCACAAAAAAAAUACUGAGGGAGUAUUUUAUACUCUAUAAAAUAAUAUAUAUACACGGACACACACGCACCCAUAUGUAUAUAUACACACACACAUAUAUAUGAAAGUUUUGCUAUGGUGCAGUGGCUCAUGCCUGUAAUCCCAGCACUCUGGGAGGCUGAGGCAGACGGAUCUCCUGAAGUCAGGAGUUUGAGACCAGCCU